AUGGAUACGAGUAACCAUGAUGAUGGAUAUGAGUCAUGUACUGAUUCUGAGGAGGAGGAGGAGGAGGAGAUGAUGUUUCUUGUCUUCCCAACAAUAUAUUGUAUAUCUUCUAGGAGGGAAAAGAUUCCAGUGAACACAUCCAUUCUUACGGGAGCUAAGUAUAUCCGAGAAAUAUUGGAUGGCCACCCUCAACGGUGCCUUGAUAUUCUUAGGAUGGAAUCCCAUAUCUUCCAACUUCUAUGUGACCAUCUUAGAAUGACAUGGAUGAUGUUCCCGACGAGGUCAAAAUCUUUGCCUCCGAUGUUUUCAAGGAUGCAGCAAAUCAUGAGAUUUUCCUGGGUUACAACUCAAGAUUGCGGGGUAUGUGGCUAA
rnacentral:rRNA from 1 species